CGUAACACGUGGGCAAUCUGCCUUAAAGUGGGGGAUAGCUCGGCGAAAGCCGAAUUAAUACCGCAUGUGAUGAGGGAAGACAUCUUUCCGAAAUCAAAGCCGGGGCAACCUGGCGCUUUUUGAGGGGUCCGCGGCCUAUCAGCUAGUUGGUGAGGUAACGGCCCACCAAGGCUAUGACGGGUAGCUGGUCUGAGAGGAUGGCCAGCCACAUUGGGACUGAGAGACGGCCCAG
rnacentral:rRNA from 1 species